UUGAUACUCCCUUCCUCCAACAAAGGAUGUCUCAACUUUAACUAAACUUGAAUAGAUCUAUACACUAAGUCAUAUCUAUAUACAUCCAAAUUUUAACAAACCUGAGACAUCUUUUAUUGGACGGAGGGAGUACAUU
rfam:Brachypodium distachyon strain Bd21 chromosome 1, whole genome shotgun sequence.